GAUGAACGCUGGCGGCGUGCCUAAUACAUGCAAGUCGAGCGAACGGACGAGAAGCUUGCUUCUCUGAUGUUAGCGGCGGACGGGUGAGUAACACGUGGAUAACCUACCUAUAAGACUGGGAUAACUUCGGGAAACCGGAGCUAAUACCGGAUAAUAUUUUGAACCGCAUGGUUCAAAAGUGAAAGACGGUCUUGCUGUCACUUAUAGAUGGAUCCGCGCUGCAUUAGCUAGUUGGUAAGGUAACGGCUUACCAAGGCAACGAUGCAUAGCCGACCUGAGAGGGUGAUCGGCCACACUGGAACUGAGACACGGUCCAGACUCCUACGGGAGGCAGCAGUAGGGAAUCUUCCGCAAUGGGCGAAAGCCUGACGGAGCAACGCCGCGUGAGUGAUGAAGGUCUUCGGAUCGUAAAACUCUGUUAUUAGGGAAGAACAUAUGUGUAAGUAACUGUGCACAUCUUGACGGUACCUAAUCAGAAAGCCACGGCUAACUACGUGCCAGCAGCCGCGGUAAUACGUAGGUGGCAAGCGUUAUCCGGAAUUAUUGGGCGUAAAGCGCGCGUAGGCGGUUUUUUAAGUCUGAUGUGAAAGCCCACGGCUCAACCGUGGAGGGUCAUUGGAAACUGGAAAACUUGAGUGCAGAAGAGGAAAGUGGAAUUCCAUGUGUAGCGGUGAAAUGCGCAGAGAUAUGGAGGAACACCAGUGGCGAAGGCGACUUUCUGGUCUGUAACUGACGCUGAUGUGCGAAAGCGUGGGGAUCAAACAGGAUUAGAUACCCUGGUAGUCCACGCCGUAAACGAUGAGUGCUAAGUGUUAGGGGGUUUCCGCCCCUUAGUGCUGCAGCUAACGCAUUAAGCACUCCGCCUGGGGAGUACGACCGCAAGGUUGAAACUCAAAGGAAUUGACGGGGACCCGCACAAGCGGUGGAGCAUGUGGUUUAAUUCGAAGCAACGCGAAGAACCUUACCAAAUCUUGACAUCCUUUGACAACUCUAGAGAUAGAGCCUUCCCCUUCGGGGGGCAAAGUGACAGGUGGUGCAUGGUUGUCGUCAGCUCGUGUCGUGAGAUGUUGGGUUAAGUCCCGCAACGAGCGCAACCCUUAAGCUUAGUUGCCAUCAUUAAGUUGGGCACUCUAAGUUGACUGCCGGUGACAAACCGGAGGAAGGUGGGGAUGACGUCAAAUCAUCAUGCCCCUUAUGAUUUGGGCUACACACGUGCUACAAUGGACAAUACAAAGGGCAGCGAAACCGCGAGGUCAAGCAAAUCCCAUAAAGUUGUUCUCAGUUCGGAUUGUAGUCUGCAACUCGACUACAUGAAGCUGGAAUCGCUAGUAGUCGUAGAUCAGCAUGCUACGGUGAAUACGUUCCCGGGUCU
rnacentral:rRNA from 1 species